rnacentral:misc_RNA from 1 species
AAAGUCGUAACAAGGUUUCCGUAGGUGAACCUGCGGAAGGAUCAUUAACACAACCCUGCGUCGAUAUCGAUGGCUUAACCGCUGGCUGAUAUCGAUGCGAAUCACAUCAACGUUGAAUAAGUUUAUCUCCCUAGUACCUGCGGUUGGCUGGUUCGACCUCGGUCGGUCCGGUCGGCUGUAGGACUCUAGGAUCAUGCCGUGUCGACCUGGCAUUCAAUUGCAAGCUUGGCCUACGAUUCGUUCGUCCGCCGAGUGGGGCAUGGCGAUGUAUUCACCCACACCCUUUUUCAUACCCUGAACUGAUACACGGUCGAUAUGUAAACUCGUGUUAUGUAUUGAUCCGACUUGACUGUCAUGGUCAAAUCAAACCACUAUACAACUCUUAACAACGGAUAUCUCGGUUGAC